rnacentral:rRNA from 1 species
CACGCAUGACACACUGCAUAUCAAUAAGCGGAGGAAAAGAAACUAACAAGGAUUCCCUUAGUAACGGCGAGUGAAGCGGGAAGAGCUCAAAUUUGAAAUCUUCAAGGUUCUACCUUGACGAAUUGUAGUUUAUAGAAGUGUUUUCUGUUAGUAGAGUGGCAAAAGUUCUUUGGAAUAGGACAUCAUAGAGGGUGAGAAUCCCGUAUUUGGUCAUUCUUUCUAGCUUUGUGAUACACUUUCAACGAGUCGGAUUGUUUGGGAAUGCAGUCCAAAAUGGGUGGUAAAUUUCAUCUAAAGCUAAAUAUUGGCGAGAGACCGAUAGCGAACAAGUACCGUGAGGGAAAGAUGAAAAGAACUUUGAAAAGAGAGUUAAACAGUACGUGAAAUUGUCAAAAGGGAAGCGUUUGACACCAGUGUUGUUUUUCCGAAAAUCAAUUACGAAUGUUUUAUUUUUGAGAAGUUAUGACUUCAUCGGCUUGCUUCUCUCUUAUGAAACUUUCUUAAUGCACUUUUCGGUUAACAAGUCAACAUCAAUUUCUUUUGUUGUAAAAGGGUAUGAGGAAGGUGGCUUUCUUUUCGGAGAAAGUGUUUAUAGCCUUGUACCUCUGCAAUCGGAGAGAUUGAGGUCUGCAGCGUAGAUCCUUCGGGGUUAGAUACGUUUGUGCUAAGUUAUAGCUUUUCAUAGACAACUUGUUGACUAUGUUUAGUCUUGUAGCUUACUCGCUGAUGCUAUUUUACCUACGCUUAGGAUGUUGAGCGCAUGUCUCUCUCU